CUCACCGGUAUCAGCUUCUGACAGGUAGACCAGCAGUAAAAGAGACAGGAUGCGGUGUCAGUGUGUCCAGUAUGAUCACUAUGACUGCUCCUAAUAAGUGAUUAGGAAGUAAUAUUACACUAGUUAGGAUAAAAUAAGAAAAAUAUUGACAUUCCAGCCGUCGUUCUGGCUCCAGGACACAUGAAACACCUCGAUAGCUCCUUCACCUCCGGGCUCAUCUCACUGAUUGGUUGCAGGGAGUCCACCCACUGAAUGGCAGACAUGCACUGACUGUCCCCGGUCUGAUGGACAUGCUGGAUGUGCCGGCGGUUUCCUUUACCUCCGAUCACCCGUCCAUCUGUGCUCAAAGGACGACAUCAGCAUGUUUCCUUUUUUAAAUCUACUGUUAGACAAAGACCGGCCUCGGUUACACGCAGCAGAUGAACUCAUCUGAAUCCAUCUCAUACAGAGUCCUCAGAUUCAGAUGUAAAAGCCCCACAAAGGUUCCAGUUUUGGAUAUUUAUUCGCGUGGCCGCUCGACAGAAUAUGGCGAAAAGGCCAAAUGCUUCGCAAUGUGCAAACAGGUAUCUUUGCUCCUUUUUACCUGGACCUAAACCUGCCUUCGUAUGGAAUUCAAUAGUGUCAGGCUUUCAAUGUAAUGACAAGGAGGCUCAUUUUAAUUUUGAUAUGAACCCUAAACAGGCCUUUGUGACUGUUGCUAAAGGUUAGCGACCGUGAGCAGCUGCAGAGUUUGCACCUGCACACGCCCUGAAAAUGUAAAGGUGCUAAUGACAGAACCAUAUGCUGCAUUAAAAUCGCUCUGAUGAAGGAGACAAUGAGAAGCCACAAAUUGCUGCACAGCCACAGAUGUGACAAAAAUAAAAAAAAAAAUCUUUCAAGUCCGACUGCGAGCACCUGUUUUCAUAUGCAUCUCCACAUAACGGAACUGUAGCAACAUGUGGGAGUCUGAUUGUAACCAUGGAGAUGGACUGACCCUAUCAAAAGCAGCCAUAACCUUCUCCAGCCAAGCCGAGCCGGCCAAGAAUAAUAAUAUCAUUGAUCCCAGGCCUGCAUCCUGACGGAGGCUCUGACCCGCGCGACCCGUUCACAGAA